rnacentral:rRNA from 1 species
GGACUACUGGGGUUUCUAAUCCCAUUCGCUACCCACGCUUUCGUGUUUCAGCGUCAAGAAUGCUCCAGUCUCCUGCCUUCGCUUUUGGUGUUCCCCAUGAUAUCAACGCAUUUCACCGCUACACCAUGAGUUCCAGAGACCCCUCGCAUCUUCUAGCUGUGCCGUUUCCCGCGCAUGUCCCCGGUUGAGCCGAAGAAUUUAACGCAAGACUAACACAGCCGCCUACACACCCUUUACGCCCAAUAAUUCCGGAUAACGCUUGAGGCACUCGUAUUACCGCGGCUGCUGGCAC